rnacentral:rRNA from 1 species
UACGUAGGGGGCAAGCGUUGUCCGGAAUCAUUGGGCGUAAAGCGCGUGUAGGCGGCUCGAUAAGUCUGCUGUGAAAGUUCAGGGCUCAACCCUGAAAUGCCGGUGGAAACUGUCGAGCUAGAGUCCGGAAGAGGCGAGUGGAAUUCCUGGUGUAGCGGUGAGAUGCGCAGAUAUCAGGAGGAACACCAAUGGCGAAGGCAGCUCGCUGGGACGGUACUGACGCUGAGACGCGAAAGCGUGGGGAGCAAACAGG